GCCAAAAUCAUGCAAUUUGAUGCCAGCGAAACGAGAUAUAUUAGCAGUAUAAUGUAGAAUUCCGUGGACAAUUUUAGGUUUCAAUGACUCGGUAAAACUUCAUUUAUUAUACAUGCACGAAUUUCAUCUAGCCAUCCUUAAAUGGACAACUGUUCCGUCGUUACAUCAUUACUGAUAUCAUCGCAUAUUAUAUAUACUUUUCUGGACGGAGUCAACAGGUGGACACCAACAUGUUUUGCCGACAAUAAUGAACUAAUGUAGGAAUAAAUUGACAGCAAAAUGUCAUUUGAAAAUGAAAAUGUUAAUGAAAAGCCCUGGAAUCACAAACUGGCAACAUCUGCCGUCCGACUCCAGGGAUUUAUUCAGCUGUAGUAUAAUUACAUUGUCUACAGGGUGAAUGUACAUAAAACAUUGUCAGACAUCAAACGAAACUCGUGGACGCUAACUAUAUACAUUCUACUUAACAACAAUUAAGAUACAAUACUGCAGACAAAAAAUGAGCAUGAAAAUUGUGGUGAUUCUGUUUGUUCUCCUAAUGUCGACAUCAAAAGCAUCUGAGGAGACGAGAAAGUGUAUCAGGCAAAUACCUUCCUUCAAAAUUUAUGAGAUUGGCGAAUCAUAUACACUUGGAUGUAUCACCUGUACCUGCAAAAAAUAUGACCGAGCAAUGUUUGACUGUGGAACAGACCCUAAGUGCAAGAAUUAAAGUGCCAUUAGUGUAUAUUGGUAUUUGGAGAAACUGAAUGAAGAAGAACAUAUAUUUUGAUAUUUUUUCAUGUUUGACAACCCAAUAAUAAUACAUGAAAGUUUAAGUAAAUUUCUUUUUUCAAUUUGAACAUUUUAGUAUGAUGAAUUUUGCAUAAUACAGUCAAUGAAUAAAAUAAAUAUA